GAUGAAGAACGUAGCGAAAUGCGAUAAGUAAUGUGAAUUGCAGAAUUCAGUGAAUCAUCGAAUCUUUGAACGCACAUUGCGCCCCUUGGUAUUCCGAGGGGCAUGCCUGUUCGAGCGUCAUUAUAACCCCUCAAGCUCAGCUUGGUGUUGGGGCCUGCUGCACUGGCAGCCCUUAAAAUCAGUGGCGGCGCCAUCUGGCUCUAAGCGUAGUAAUUCUUCUCGCUAUGGAGUCCUGGUGGAUGCUUGCCAGCAACCCCCAAUUUUUACAGUUUGACCUGGGAUGAGGUAGGGAUACCCGCUGAACUUAAGCAUAUCAAUAAGCGGAGGA
rnacentral:misc_RNA from 1 species